AAUUUACAAGAAGACUCAAAGUACAAAGAUUAGACAUUAUCACGAUCUGUUGCUCGAAGCAAUCAAACUCUUCCGUAAAAGACGAUCCGAUAUCUUCCAAAGAAGAACGAAGAGUCGAGUUCGUAGAAGACCACAAGAAAGGCAGGUGAAUGAAAAUAGAAACAGGAAAAGAGAGAAGGAAAGAGAGAGAGAAAGAGAGAGAGAGAGAGAGAGAGAGAGAGAAAUAGAGUUAGAGAUAGAGAAAGAGAGAGAGAGAAAGAAAGAGAGAGGGAGGAUACUAUCCGUCGAGGUUGUAUCAAAUUGCGUGGAGACCAAGCACCGAGAAUAAAAUAUUCCACGUGACGAGAAGGGCGUUCAUUGGCUUGUAUUCACGACCGCAAAGAAAUGCUUGAUAAACCGAAUGCAAACAUUUUUAUUUACUUUUUUUUGUCUUUCAUCGUCAAAAGAAAAAAAAAAAAAAAAAAGAAGAAGAAAAAUAAUGACCAUCUUGACUUUUUCAUUGUGUAAUAACCGAUUAUCGGAAUGUGAUUUCGUCAUUAUUUUCGUAUAUUUUAUAAUUAAAUGUUACUCAGUCUUUUGAGCUAAUAUAUAUAUAUAUAUAUAUAUAUUAUUAAUUAAAUAAAAUUAUUUGACAAGAGAAGACAGCUAUAUCGUAAUCUUCUAUCUUUUUUUCCCUCUCUCUCUCUCUCUCUCUUUCUCUCUCCCUCUCUCUAUCUAUCUAUCUCUUUCUUUUUUUUAUGAGCAGGACUUUGCACGACUGGUAACGAAGGACGUCUGACGCCUCCCUCGCAUAUAUUCCUUGUGCACAUUCGUAUACAAAUACGUAUAUGUACAUAUAUCUCUAUCCUAGUAUAAAUAGCGCCGGCGCAUACGUUGAUUCGCGAGAGGAAAGCUUUACAAUAGCUCGUCGUCCACGCGCGCGCUCUUUAGGGUCAAGGAUGCGGUGAGUGUAGGUGUGCACGCGACGCAGCCAUCCGUACCAAUGCCGUUGCCGCGAAGACGACGAGGAAAACGACGACACGACGACGACGAAAACGACGACGAAAACGACGACGACGAAAACGACGACGACGAAGACGAUGACGAUGACGACGAGACGAUGACGACGACGACGGAUGAUGAUGAUGAUAAUAGACGCCGUGGAAUCAAGGAAAGGGUGGUGUAAAGGCAGUAGGAGGAUGAGAAGGAGGAGGAGGAGGAGAAGGAGGAAUGAAAAAUGGCGGAGGUAGUAUGCACCGAAUGGUACACGACUGAAGCCGGUAAAACAUAUGUAUAUACGAGCUUGUAUGUGUUUAUGUAUGUAUGUAUGUAUGUAUGUAUGUAUGUAUGUAUGUAUGUACGUAUAUGUUGUGUGUGUGUGUUUGUGUGCGCAUGCACGCGCGCGCUAUACAAUGUAUCUUCGUUGUUAUAUCUCAAAAAGUAUUUUGAUUCUUCGCCGAUUACAAAUGAAAAUAUAUUGUUUUGCACUUUUCACUUUA